rnacentral:rRNA from 1 species
AGUUAGCCGACACUUAUUCCUAGGCUACCGUCCUUUUUCUCGUCACCUAGAAAAGGGCUUUACGAUCCGAAAACCUUCAUCACCCACGCGGCGUCGCUGCGUCAGACUUCCGUCCAUUGCGCAAUAUUCCUUA